UUUAAAAGCGCGCCUCCCGCCCGCCGGGCUCCCUUCGCAGCCGGUGCACCGAGCGGAGCGGCCGGAGAGGAGGGCGGCGGAGGCGGCGGUCGGGCUGGCCGGGGAGCGCCGCGGGGCGGGCGCGCGCGAAAGCCCUGGAUUUGGAAGGAAAGUCCCCAGGACAGGCCAACUCUGGAGCGGCUGAGAAGAGUUUGAUGAGACACCGGGGCAGCCUCUUGACACCUGGAACAGCAGAGAGCCCUUUGACCUGAAAUUGAUGCUGCUCCUGUAUCCUGUAUCUGAGGGGAAAGUUCAGCAGAGAUUAAUGUAAGAUGCUACACUAAG